rnacentral:rRNA from 1 species
GACGAACCGUCCAAACGUUGUUCGGAAUCACUGGGCGUAAAGCGCGUGUAGGCGGCUUUGCAAGUCGGAUGUGAAAGCCCCGGGCUCAACCUGGGAACUGCAUUUGAAACUGGCGGGCUUGAGUGUGGCAGAGGGGGGUGGAAUUCCGCGUGUAGCAGUGAAAUGCGUAGAGAUGCGGAGGAACACCGAUGGCGAAGGCAGCCCCCUGGGCCAACACAUGACGCCUCGAGG